AUUGAACGCUGGCGGCAUGCCUUACACAUGCAAGUCGAACGGCAGCACGGGAGCAAUCCUGGUGGCGAGUGGCGAACGGGUGAGUAAUAAAUCGUAACGUGCCCAGUAGUGGGGGAUAACGCAGCGGAAGCUGUGCUAAUAAUCCAUACGAUCUAAGGAUGAAAGCGGGGGAUCCCAAGACCUCGCUCGAUUGAAGCGGCCGGGAUCAGAUUUGCUAGUUGGUGGGGUAAAGGCCCACCAAGGCGACGAUGUGUAGCCGGUCUGAGAGGACGACCAGCCAAAGGGGAACUGAGACACGGUCCAGACUCCUACGGGUGGCAGCAGUGGGGAAUUUUGGAGAAUGGGUGCAAGUCUGAUCCAGAAAUGCCGCGUGCAUGAUGAAGGCCUUCGGGUUGUAAACUGCUUUUGUACGGAACGAAACAGGCCUUUCUAAUACAAGGGGCUAAUGACGGUACCGUAAGAAUAAGCACCGGCUAACUACGUGCCAGCCGCCGCGGUAAGAC
rnacentral:rRNA from 1 species